rnacentral:rRNA from 1 species
AGAGUUUGAUCCUGGCUCAGGACGAACGCUGGCGGCGUGCCUAAUACAUGCAAGUCAACUGAAGCAGUUGUAGCAAUACGGCUGUGGAGGUGGCGCACGGGUGAGUAACACGUAGGUAAUCUGCCUUCAGGUCUGACAUAACUCAGCGAAAGCUGUGCUAAUAUCAGAUUAUGCAGCGGCUUGGCAUCAAGACAGUUGUUAAAGCUUCGGCGCCUGAAGAUGAGCCUGCGUCCCAUCAGCUAGUUGGUAAGGUAAUGGCUUACCAAGGCGAUGACGGGUAGGGGACCUGAGAGGGUGGCCCCCCACAAUGGAACUGAAACACGGUCCAUACACCUACGGGUGGCAGCAGUAGGGAAUAUUGGUUAAUGUGCGAAAGCGCGAACCAGCAACGCCGCGUGUGCGAUGAAGGCCUUCGGGUCGUAAAGCACUUUUUGCAGGGACGAGGAAGGACGGUACCUGCAGAAUAAGUCUCGGCUAACUACGUGCCAGCAGCCGCGGUAAAACGUAGGAGACGAGCGUUAUCCGGAUUUACUGGGCGUAAAGCGCGUGCAGGCGGCAUGGCAAGUUGGAUGUGAAAGCUCCCGGCUUAACUGGGAGAGGUCGUUCAAUACUGCCAGGCUUGAGAGUGGUAGAGGGAAGCGGAAUUCCGGGUGUAGUGGUGAAAUGCGUAGAUAUCCGGAGGAACACCAGUGGCGAAAGCGGCUUCCUGGCCCAUUUCUGACGCUCAGACGCGAAAGCUAGGGUAGCAAACGGGAUUAGAGACCCCGGUAGUCCUAGCUGUAAACGAUGUGAACUUGGCGUUGGCGGGUUUAAAUCCGUCAGUGCCGCAGCUAACGCGAUAAGUUCACCGCCUGGGGACUACGGCCGCAAGGUUAAAACUCAAAGGAAUUGACGGGGGCCCGCACAAGCAGCGGAGCGUGUGGUUUAAUUCGAUGUUACACGAAGAACCUUACCAGGGUUUGACAUGUAGGUGGUAGUGAAGCGAAAGCGGAACGACUCUUCGGAGAGCCUGCACAGGUGCUGCAUGGCUGUCGUCAGCUCGUGUCGUGAGAUGUUCGGUUAAGUCCGCUAACGAGCGCAACCCCUGCUGUGUGUUACAAGUGUCACACGGGACUGCCGGUCUUAAGCCGGAGGAAGGUGGGGAUGACGUCAAGUCAGCAUGGCCUUUAUAUCCUGGGCUACACACACGCUACAAUGGGUGGUACAGCAGGUUGCGAAACCGCGAGGUGGAGCCAAUCCUCAAAGCCAUCCUCAGUUCAGAUUGCAGGCUGCAACUCGCCUGCAUGAAGAUGGAGUUGCUAGUAACCGCAGGUCAGCUAUACUGCGGUGAAUACGUUCCCGGGCCUUGCACUCACCGCCCGUCAAG